UACGUAGGGUGCGAGCGUUAAUCGGAAUUACUGGGCGUAAAGUGUGCGCAGGCGGCUUCGCAAGUCGAGUGUGAAAUCCCCGAGCUUAACUUGGGAAUUGCGCUCGAAACUACGGAGCUGGAGUGUGGCAGAGGAAGGUGGAAUUCCACGUGUAGCGGUGAAAUGCGUAGAGAUGUGGAGGAACACCGAUGGCGAAGGCAGCCUUCUGGGCCGAUACUGACGCUGAGGAGCGAAAGCGUGGGGAGCGAACAGG
rnacentral:rRNA from 1 species